rnacentral:rRNA from 1 species
AGCAGCCGCGGUAAUUCCAGCUCCAAUAGCGUAUAUUAAAGUUGUUGCAGUUAAAAAGCUCGUAGUUGAAUUUCGGGAUUGACGUGACGGUCGUGCCUUAAGGGGCGUGAACUGUCGCCGUUGAUUUCUCACCUUCUGGAGAAGCUCGAUGUCCUUAAUUGGAUGUCUUGUGGAACCAGGACCUUUACCUUGAAAAAAUUAGAGUGUUUAAAGCAGGCAUUUUGCUCGAAUACAUUAGCAUGGAAUAAUAGAAUAGGACGGCAUGGUUCUAUUUUGUUGGUUUCUAGGAUCACCGUAAUGAUUAAUAGGGAUAGUUAGGGCAUUAGUAUUCAAUUGUCAGAGGUGAAAUUCUUGGAUUUAUUGAAGACUAACUACUGCGAAAGCAUUUGCCAAGGAUGUUUUCAUUAAUCAAGAACGAAAGUUAGGGGAUCGAAGACGAUCAGAUACCGUCGUAGUCUUAACCAUAAACUAUGCCGACUAGGAAUC